GACGAACGCUGGCGGCGUGCUUAACACAUGCAAGUCGAACGGCAAGGCCCUGCUUUUGUGGGGUGCUCGAGUGGCGAACGGGUGAGUAACACGUGAGUAACCUGCCCUUGACUUUGGGAUAACUUCAGGAAACUGGGGCUAAUCCCGGAUAGGAGCUCCUGCUGCAUGGUGGGGGUUGGAAAGUUUCGGCGGUUGGGGAUGGACUCGCGGCUUAUCAGCUUGUUGGUGGGGUAGUGGCUUACCAAGGCUUUGACGGGUAGCCGGCCUGAGAGGGUGACCGGCCACAUUGGGACUGAGAGACGGCCCAGACUGCUACGGGAGGCAGCAGUGGGGAAUAUUGCACAAUGGGCGGAAGCCUGAUGCAGCAGCGCCGCGUGCGGGAUGACGGCCUUCGGGUUGUAAACCGCUUUCGCCUGUGACGAAGCGUGAGUGACGGUAAUGGGUAAAGAAGCACCGGCUAACUACGUG
rnacentral:rRNA from 1 species